rnacentral:rRNA from 1 species
UACGAACUGUGCAAACGUUAUUCGGAUUCACUGGGCUUAAAGGGUGCGUAGGCGGCCAUGUAAGUAGGGUGUGAAAUCCCCCGGCUUAACCGGGGAACUGCGCCCUAAACUGUGUGGCUUGAGUGAGAUAGGGGUGUGUGGAACUCUAAGUGUAGCGGUGAAAUGCGUUGAUAUUUAGGGGAACACCAAAAGCGAAGGCAGGAAACUGGACCAUACCUGACACUGAAACACGAAAGCGUGGGUAGCGAAUGGG